AUGGUGUGUGUGAAAUCAGUGAAAUAUUCGGUCAAAUUCAAUGGACAAUUGCUUGAGAGUUUCACUCCCUCUAGAGGAUUAAGGCAAGGCGAUCCUUUAUCGCCGUUCUUAUUUCUUUUUGUUGCUGAUGCCCUUUCUGCUCUGUUCUCUAAAUCAGUUGAGGAAGGCUUGCUAAAGGGGGUGGCUAUAUGUCGUGGUGCACCGGUUAUUUCCCACCUGCUAUUUGCAGAUGAUACUAUGUUGCUUUUUGAGGCAUCUGGCGAGGAAGCGAGCAUUGUUAAGGGGCUGUUGAACACUUAUAGUUCUGCGACGGGUCAACUUAUUAACCCAGAGAAGUGUUCCAUCCUGUUUUCUGACAAUUGCUCUAAUGCGAUGGCGGAUGAAGUCAAAAGUAUCCUCGAGGUUACGCAGCAGCUGUCCGAGCCAAAGUACCUCGGCCUUCCGGUGCCAGAGGGAAGAGUGCAUAAGGGACAAUUUGAAUCUCUUCAGGAGAGGUUGAGGAAGAGAUUAAUUGAUUGGAGUGAACAGUUUGUCUCAACGGGGAACAAAGAAAUUUUGAUCAAGGCGGUGGCGCAAGCUAUACCUACUUAUGUCAUGAGUGUGUUUCGGCUACCGGCCUCUGUCUGUGAUGAUUUAAUGCGUAUGAUGAGGCAGUACGGGUGGGGAGUGGAGAAUGGUAAAAGGAAAAUGGCGUGGCUCAGUUGGGAGAAAAUGAUCUUGCCCAAGGAUAUGGGAGGAAUGGGUUUUAGAGAUAUGAGAUCCUUCAACCAGGCGCUACUCGCGAAGCAAGCCUGGAGAUUGCUGGAUAGUCCGGACAGUUUAUGCGCCCGGUUACUCCGCACCAAAUACUACCCCAAUGGUAACUUGCUUGAUACAGUCUUUCCUUCUAGCUCGUCGGCUGUGUGGAAGGGCAUCAUGCAUGGGCUUGAUCUGUUG
rnacentral:rRNA from 1 species